AAUGAACGCUGGUGGCAGACCUAACACAUGCAAGUCGAGCGGUAGAGAGAAGCUUGCUUCUCUUGAGAGCGGCGGACGGGUGAGUAAUGCCUAGGAAUCUGCCUGGUAGUGGGGGAUAACGUUCGGAAACGGACGCUAAUACCGCAUACGUCCUACGGGAGAAAGCAGGGGACCUUCGGGCCUUGCGCUAUCAGAUGAGCCUAGGUCGGAUUAGCUAGUUGGUGGGGUAAUGGCUCACCAAGGCGACGAUCCGUAACUGGUCUGAGAGGAUGAUCAGUCACACUGGAACUGAGACACGGUCCAGACUCCUACGGAGGCAGCAGUGGGGAAUAUUGGACAAUGGGCGAAAGCCUGAUCCAGCCAUGCCGCGUGUGUGAAGAAGGUCUUCGGAUUGUAAAGCACUUUAAGUGGGAGAGGCAGUAAUAUACUUUGCUGUUUGACGUUACCGACAGAAUAAGCACCGGCUAACUCUGUGCCAGC
rnacentral:rRNA from 1 species